rnacentral:rRNA from 1 species
UUUAAUUAAGUUUUUUGAAUUUUGUUUGUUAAUCAUAAUUAAUUUUAAAACUAUUGGCGGUAAUAGAUUAAAUUCUGAGGAACUUGUUUAUUUAAAUUGAUAUUACUCGUUAAAUUUUAUCUGAAGUAAAUUUUAUGUAUUGCUGUUUUAUUUAUUAUUAAAAAUUUUUAAUAAAUUUAAUUAAUUUUAAUUUAAAUUUUAAUUAUAUCAAGUCAAAAUGUAGAUUUUUUUAGGUAUAAAUGAGUUACUUUUAUUUAAAAUAAUGGGGCUGUAAAGGUAAAUGAAAUUUUAUUGAAAGAAGGUUGGAUUAGGAAGUAAAAGGAAAUUAAUAAGUUCUUUUGAUAAUUUUAUCAUUAUGUACAUAUCGCCCGUCGCUUAAAAAAAAAGUUUUUAAAAAUAAAUUUUUA